UUCUGCUAAGAAGAGCUGUAGUUAUUUCUACCAUGAUUUCUGUAACUGAUAGCUGGUCGUUGUUUUAGUUGCAAUUUGCUUUAGCUAUCUAUAUUUCACAUAAGUAUAUUUUGGAAAGUUACUAUUUGUUCUUGUAAACCUUGUUUUUGGCAAGCAGGAAAGAGUUAUCAAAGUGAAAAUAAUGGGGUGUUCAUUAUCUACUCUUGAGAUUUUCAUUUGCAUAGCUAUACAGGUGUUUGGGGACUGAUUAACUGCUGUAGAAAUUACUAGAAGACUAAGCACAUUACCUGUGCUUAGUUCCUAUCUCUAUAUUAUAAUUUUUUAGCAUGUAAAUAUUUGUAAUAUAUGACAUGACAUAUACAUAUUAAAUAUUGUCACUGUUUUCUUCCUUUAUAUUGCUAAACCUUUAAGUUCCUGUAUGUAACACCACAGUAUCCUGUCACAAUGCUACUUAAAUAUUGUUUCUCAUUUCCUCACACCUUGCAUCUCUAAAUUUUGAAGAAUAUUUAUCAGUCAUGUAGUUAAUGAUUUCAGUAUCUUUACAAUAUCAGAACUGAUGCUUUUAUUUAUAUCUGGCAAUUGUGGUAUUUGUACAUACAAAGUAUCUAUCAGUUGUGUAUAUUUUUUGAUCCGGAGUACUGCUGAAGUGGAAAAUCUAGUUUCAUUGCUUGCUUUUUAUUGACUGUUUUCUUCUUCCAGAUGGAGAUUCCUCCAGCUAAUGUAAAUGAAGUCUUUCCAUUGACUUCAGCAAGAGUCAGCUUAGUCCUUGUAGAAGGAAGUUAAUAGCACAGAGACAGACUCUUUUUGUACAGUUCUGCCUGGGUUUGCAAACAAACACUAGACACUCCUUUAUUUUUCUACUACUGCUGUGAAAGACAGGACAUCCUGCUUUUCAAAACAAAAGAUAUUAAGCCUACUUCAACUAGGUCAAUUACCAUGCUCAGAUAGAAAAUGGUGAGAUAUUUUCUGUAAUUGUCUAAAAAUUAGGUUUGUGCCUUGGACAACACAUCACUAUAAAACUAUAGCCUAGUGAAAGAAAGAUUAUUUUAUUCUUUUUCUUAAUAUUUUGUUUACAUUUUGUGUUGGAGACUAAAGGUGGGGAAAAGAAUUUGAGCAAAACAAUGAAGAUCUGCAGGUAAUGAAAAUUGGUCACUUGUAUGUGCACAUUUCUGCUGCUUGUCCCUUUCAGGUACCAUUCAGGGAUACAAUUCUCCCUUUGUGAAACAGAAAUCUGAAAUGGCAGGGGAAGAAGCUCCUAUUCUUCUCUGUUUCUUCCAUGCAGGUUCAGUGUCUCAGACAGAAUAGCUUCUUCAUGGCAAGUAAAUUGCUUCAUAGAAAUUUGCAGUCAUUAUUCACUGGAUUGAUUAGAAAUGCCAUCAGUGAGUCUCAGAACCUUUGUAUCAUUGCCAAUUCGAACUACUUAGUGGAUUUGAAAUUAAAGCACAAAAUACACAGAGACUCCUGCAGUUACAAGACUAUAGGUGUCAAACAUCUUGGUCUUUCCUUAUUGUAAUGGUUGCUCUCCCCAGAGUGUUUCAGGACUUAAAUGAUAUUACUUUCAGUCAUAACAGCUGAUUCCUUUCCUGUAAUACUGUUACAUAAAACUUAAGUCUGUUCUAGCAAAGAUGGUAGCUGUUCCAGUGAAGAUGAAACCAGAUCAUUCUCAAAUUUCUUUAAUUCUGGGCAGGAAGGUGUAGAGAGACAUGGGACUAAAAGAAGUGGGAGCAGAACUAAAAUCCAAUGUAGGGAAUAUGAGGAGUAUCAGAAAAGGCACAUGAAAAUGGAACCAGUGUGCAUAGUGAAUGCUGGAAAUAAAAUGAGACACAGGGAAUCUGGGGAUAGAACGAAAUGAACUGGGGGAAACAUAGGCUACCUCAGCAAGAACUGAGUACUGCACACUUUGCUUUCUGCAUGCCACAGGUCAAGGGUAUAUGAUACAUUGUUCACGUGCAGAGACUUUCUUAUAUAUUCUAGAGAUCCCUGUGGAUGCUCAGAUCAACUACAUUUUGGAGUUUUUUGUGCACUGGUAGCUGGUUGGCUGACUGCUUUAAAAUUUAUAAUGGUAGCUUUUGAGAUGUCAGUAGGAGAUAGCCUUUGCAAAACAACCACUACAGAUAGAGAAGGGGGAUGGGAGGAGAGCUGGGAUGGAUGAAAGAGAAUGCAAGAGAGAAGAAACAGAAAAUAAAUUCAGGAAAUUGGGAAGGAAGUAGAUGUAGGGCUUUAUCUGUGAGUCUAGGCCAAAGGCAUUUUGUAAUCUUAACAACACUAACUAUGCAGGGGAGAUAGGUAGAAUUAAGAUGUUAUUUUUUUAACUGCCCCAGCUAGUUGCCCUGCCCUUCUGCAGAAAGUUGUUACACCCUGAGGGAGAGGAGACAGAACCAUACCUAUUUCCCUGUAUAGUGUGGCAAGUAGCUUUAACCACCAGUGAGGACGUGGAGGCAGGUGAGUCAGAUGCCUGUAGUUUCUUCCGACACACCUCCUAGGGAGGGUACCCUCUGGCACAUGGGAGGGACAAAGUGCUGAGGUCUGUAAUACCUUUUUAAAUUGCAACAGCUAGAUCAGUCAGGCUUUUCUUAACUAAUUUUUGCUGUUCUAUGAAUCCUACUUUAGGUAGCCAUGUGUAUACUUAUAUGUUGGUACUAAAUUUGGAAGACUCCAUCCAAGAAAGAGAGAAAAAAGGGUGGCAUAAAACCAGAAGAAUAUAGAUGGCAGCUCCUAUCUGCUCAUUGGAAUAGAUGCUUCCUCUUAGAUAAACCUAGACAUUCUGCUCUCAGAUGAUAGCACGUUUGGAGAUAUGAGAGAAACAGGGAGCUGCUGGAACAUAUUGCAGAAGCCUAAAGCACUUAGCAACAGAGAAAGUGUGGGCUGCAGCGACAGAAGCCGGAAUGUGGAAACAAGUGACAUCGAGGCGGCUGUUUGGGAAAGAAGAGCUUUUACUUUGUUUAUAAUUUCAGUAAUUCUAAAGAACUUGGCAGUGUGGGAGGUCACUGCAGUCUCUGACUCUGCACAUAUCCUUUUCUGUGUGCCUGUUUUUCAAAUGCCUAUGAUAAUUAUUACCAAGAAUGCUGGAUGUUCUAAUUUCCUUUUGUAUUUCCUGUUUCUCUAAAACUAGAGAAGUAAAAUUAAGGUAUUUGUUUUGCAUCAAUUUAUUCUGUUAAGAGAUAUUCAUGUGGCAGGCACUGUGUAUAGUUUUUUUAAAUUAUAGUGAUAAUGUCUUAUGGAGUGAUACAAUCAUUUACCGUGAUGCUUUUUAGUGCUUUGCACUAGAAUAUCCUGAUGGUGUGCACUAAUGAUAGUGUGGAUGUCAAAUAACUGCUAAAGAAAACUGCCUGAGGUGCUGAGCAGGGUAAAUUGAGUUGCGAUAAAAUAAAAAUUUUUCUGACAUCACAGUGA